CGGCCCGUCCGUGGACAUGUGGUUUAUUCGAUGCAACGCGAAGAACCUUACCUGGUCUUGACAUCCACAGAACUUUCCAGAGAUGGAUUGGUGCCUUCGGGAACUGUGAGACAGGUGCUGCAUGGCUGUCGUCAGCUCGUGUUGUGAAAUGUUGGGUUAAGUCCCGCAACGAGCGCAACCCUUAUCCUUUGUUGCCAGCGGUUAGGCCGGGAACUCAAAGGAGACUGCCAGUGAUAAACUGGAGGAAGGUGGGGAUGACGUCAAGUCAUCAUGGCCCUUACGACCAGGGCUACACACGUGCUACAAUGGCGCAUACAAAGAGAAGCGACCUCGCGAGAGCAAGCGGACCUCAUAAAGUGCGUCGUAGUCCGGAUUGGAGUCUGCAACUCGACUCCAUGAAGUCGGAAUCGCUAGUAAUCGUAGAUCAGAAUGCUACGGUGAAUACGUUCCCGGGCCUUGUACACACCGCCCGUAAAA
rnacentral:rRNA from 1 species